rnacentral:tRNA from 1 species
AGUUGGUAGAGCAGAGGACUGAAAAUCCUCGUGUCAC